rnacentral:rRNA from 1 species
GAUGAAUGCUGGCGGCGUGCCUAACACACGCAACUCGAGCGGCAGCGAGGGGUGCUUGCACCCUGUCGGCGAGCGGCGAACGGCUGAGUAACGCGUAGGAAUUUGCCCCAAAGUGAGGAAUAACUGCCCGAAAGGGUAGCUAAUGCCGCAUAUGGUCUUCGGAUUAAAGGAUUUAUCCGCUUUGGGAGAAGCCUGCGUUGGAUUAGGUUGUUGGUAGGGUAAUGGCCUACCAAGCCGACGAUCCAUAGCUGGUCUGAGAGGAUGAUCAGCCAGACUGGAACUGAGACACGGUCCAGACUCCUACGGGAGGCAGCAGUGAGGAAUCUUCCACAAUGGGCGAAAGCCUGAUGGAGCAACGCCGCGUGAAGGAUGAAGGCCUUCGGGUUGUAAACUUCUUUUAUGAGUGAAGAAUAUGACGGUAACUCAUGAAUAAGCACCGGCUAACUACGUG